rnacentral:rRNA from 1 species
UACGGAGGGUGCGAGCGGUACCCGGAUUUACUGGGCGUAAAGGGCGCGUAGGCGGCUUUCUAAGUCCGGGGCUAAAGGCCAGGGCUCAACCCUGGGUUUGCCUUGGAUACUGGAAAGCUCGACGGCUGGAGGGGGCAGCGGAAUUUCCGGAGUAGCGGUGAAAUGCGCAGAUACCGGAAGGAACGCCAAUAGCGAAGGCAGCUGCCUGGACAGUACGUGACGCUGAGGCGCGAAAGCGUGGGGAGCAAACCGG